rnacentral:rRNA from 1 species
GACGAACGCUGGCGGCGUGCUUAACACAUGCAAGUCGAACGGAAAGGCCCUGCUUUUGUGGGGUGCUCGAGUGGCGAACGGGUGAGUAACACGUGAGUAACCUGCCCUUGACUUUGGGAUAACUUCAGGAAACUGGGGCUAAUACCGGAUAGGAGCUCCUGCUGCAUGGUGGGGGUUGGAAAGUUUCGGCGGUUGGGGAUGGACUCGCGGCUUAUCAGCUUGUUGGUGGGGUAGUGGCUUACCAAGGCUUUGACGGGUAGCCGGCCUGAGAGGGUGACCGGCCACAUUAGGCAUGAGAGAAGGGCCAGCAUCCUAACGGAGGCAGCAGUGGGGAAUAUUGCACAAUGGGCGGAAGCCUGAUGCAGCAACGCCGCGUGCGGGAUGACGGCCUUCGGGUUGUAAACCGCUUUCGCCUGUGACGAAGCGUGAGUGACGGUAAUGGGUAGAGAAGCACCGGCUAACUACGUG